GGGGGCAGUGAUGGCGCCAACACCAGGUGGUUUAAUGGCCGAGCUGCAGAAAUCUCACAUCUCACUCGGGCCUCUGACUGAAACCUGAAGGCGGCGGCGGCUGCGUGUCCGAGUCAACGCCGGAAAAGAGGCGCUUUGAGGCGGUCAUGCGAGCUUGCUACAGCCGCAGCCUCCGAGCUCGCGCGCACUCUCACACAGACACACACCCUCCACACACACACGCAUACCCAGGACUCUCUGCACCGAUCACGCGCACCACCACAGAAUAAUACUUAAAACGACGUGUCAAAUAAUAGCCCGUUUAGACGUGCGUCCUGUUUAGUCAUGUAGUAGUGUGUACGGUUUAGGACGGAGCCGCGCGUGGCGUUGCCUCGGCAACCAUAGACGGCGUUUGAUCGUGAUGUGUUGACUAUGCGGUUCGGGACGCGGCUCAUCAACAGACGCGGAACAAAACACGCAAAAUUUCCGCGUAUAAACUCGAGACAAAACGUGUCUAAAACACGGACAGACAACAAGCCGAGCUGUUCGUUACGUAACCGGUAUUGUGUAGAGGAGGCGGUGGCUACAACCGGGGGGUUGGAUCACAACACUAAACUUUUGUUUUCUUUAAAUUUAUUUUUCCAUCACGGAUCAAAACGCUCUUUUCUUUCUUUCUUUUUUUUUUGGAAAACCCCCCUCACCACGUUACGAUGAAACAAAUCCGUCUACCCGAUCAAUUAUAAACAUCCUAAUUAACCCUAUGGUCGAUAACGUCAGCGGUCCUGCUUUUAGCUUUUUAAUUAGAGAAAUAAAAUAAAUAAAAAUAAAUAAGUAAGUAAGUAAGCCCACUUCGAAUAUCCCAUCGCUUUUCAACCCGAAAAAAAAAAAUCGGAAAAAAAAAUCGAAUUCCAUGGACUUCCCAGAAAUUCCCAUUUUUUCCCUGAUUUUUCCUGAUUUUUGCCUUGUCCUCCUGUCCGUAAGUGAAGAGUAAAUAAAACAAAUCGUGUGUUUUACACUGUCUGUAGUUGUAUUGCAUGAAGCAGGGCGCCUCCAUAUCCCGCCCAACACACACACACACACACACACACACACACACACACACACACACACACACUGGCGCACUCCCUCCCACCACUAUCUGUCCUCACAUGCAGCUCAUGACGUACCUUUAUUUCUAACACAUUUUCUAUAAUAACCCUAAUACACGGAGCUGCCACUAAAACUCACAGCUCACACCGACUUCAGGGUCACCAGGGAUUCGUUUUCUCUGGUUUGUGACGGUGCCUUACCAAAUCUUCGUAACUCCCAGGGUGUUCCUUUCCAGUCCAAUCUAUCCUUUUGGGUAACAGCUGGAAAUGGAAAACAUUGUUAUCCGACUUGAAUUCUAGGAAGGUCAAAGAGCAGGAACUGGAGAUCGUCUUCAGCUGGUUCGGAUCGGAGAGGAAGGUGUGGCUUAGCUAGGACUAGAAGAUAACAUUGUCGCUCUGAGCGGCUGUGAGAUCAAACGGCUCAGCUGAAGAUAAUAAUUUGUAGUUCAUAUUGUAAGUAGAUACGCAGAUAUGAGGUAAAUCUGUGUAACCUGUUCAUAUACAUGGCAAAAAACAAGCUUCUGUACUGAGAUAAGUUGAGAGAUGAAACACCACAGAGUCUUUGUGUAUAUUAUACUGUAUUCUGCCAAAAUAUUAUCACUGUGUUAAAUCUGACAUGUGAAGAUACCUGAGAAGUCAAAUAAAAGAAAUAAAUAAUGAAUUAAAGACCA